rnacentral:lncRNA from 10 species
AGAAUGCAGUGAGGGUAGCGACCGGGCUACACAGGUGAUGAAGGGGGGAACUGCAUCCUGGGAUCCGCAGUUUCGCCUGUCCACCCGCCAAAUCCUAAGAGUGGCUGAGCGCAGUUAUUGGGGAGUGUAGAAACAGGGUUUCACCAUGUUGGCCAUGCUGGUCUCGAACUCCAGAACUCAAGUGAUCCGUCCGCCUCGGUCUUCCAAACUGCUGGGAUUACAGGCGUGAGCCACCGCGCCCAGCCUUUGGGGAAGUUCUUUUUACCGUCCAUCAUCCAUUGCCACCACACCUUCUGCUUACGAGUUAUUUAUAAUAAGUUUAACUAAAAGAGAACGAGAGAACAUCCCCUGAAACCCAAAGUUUGUCAUUCUAUACAGCUUUCCUGCCUGCAAAAGAGGAGGAGCAGACUCAUCCAGCAAAUCACCUAAAAAGUUUGAAGAUCAAAAAGCCUAGCUCCAGUUUCAGAUCCUUCCCCUACCUUUCUGAACACUAGUUUCUUCCUCUGAAAAACGAAAGAGGGAACGGGACCGUAGAGUGGAGUGGGCACAAGAAUCGCAAGUCCCUUCU